GUCAACGCCGUAAACGAUGUGUGCUGGAUGUCGGGGGUAUUCACCCCCUCGGUAUCGAAGCUAACGCGAUAAGCACACCGCCUGGGGAGUACGGCCGCAAGGUUGAAACUCAAAGGAAUUGACGGGGGCCCCGCACAAGCGGUGGAGUAUGUGGUUUAAUUCGACGCAACGCGAAGAACCUUACCCAGCCUUGACAUGCUCGGAAUCCGGUGGAAACACUGGAGUGCCUUCGCAAGAAGGAGCCGGGACACAGGUGCUGCAUGGCUGUCGU
rnacentral:rRNA from 1 species